UGGGGAAUUUUGGACAAUGGGCGAAAGCCUNAUCCAGCAAUGCCGCGUGUGUGAAGAAGGCCUUCGGGUUGUAAAGCACUUUUGUCCGGAAAGAAAAUCCUUGGCUCUAAUACAGUCGGGGGAUGACGUACCGGAAGAAUAAGCACCGGCUAACUACGUGCCAGCAGCCGCGGUAAUACGUAGGGUGCAAGCGUUAAUCGGAAUUACUGGGCGUAAAGCGUGCGCAGGCGGUUUGCUAAGACCGAUGUGAAAUCCCCGGGCUCAACCUGGGAACUGCAUUGGUGACUGGCAGGCUAGAGUAUGGCAGAGGGGGGUAGAAUUCCACGUGUAGCAGUGAAAAUGCGUAGAGAUGUGGAGGAAUACCGAUGGCGAAGGCAGCCCCCUGGGCCAAUACUGACGCUCAUGCACGAAAGCGUGGGGAGCAAAACAGGAUUAGAUACCCCUGGUAGUCCACGCCCCUAAAACGAUGUCAACUAGUUGUUGGGGGAUUCAUUUCCUUAGUAACGUAGCUAACGCGUGAAGUUGACCGCCUGGGGGAGUACGGUCGC
rnacentral:rRNA from 1 species